UUCCGCGUUCCAGAACUGGUCCCAGAAUUGGGCCGGAACGAGGUCGAGUAACUAACUGCUAAAUCUGUUAUCUGCUGGGCUGAGGCUUUCCGCGAAGCCGUUGUAUCUGUCUGCCCGCAGCAUUCGCCAAGGAUCUCAGUUUAGCUGUUCAGUCUCAGAAUGAGAGACGUGACACCAGAAGUCCCAAGGGAGCAAACUUGAAAGCCAGCGCCUCCUGAACACACUGCCAGGGGGCGAAACGACAUUAGACACAGUCCACAGAUACAAGAACCAUCACUUCUUCAGAUAGAGGCCGUGAAACAGAAGUGAUGAGAGUUCCUCCUCUAUCCUCCUAGAAAAGGCAUCUUGUGCCUCUCUGCUUUAGGUGUCAACUUUUAUGGCUAAAAUUCGGCAGCCUGAUCGUUGGAUACAGUGAAUGCUGCUGUUGUUGCAAGCUUGUGAUACUGUUGUGAGGGUAAUAGCUAAGGUUUAUUGAAUGUCAGUAUUAGGUGUUAGGCAAUAUGCUUCGCAUCCGUAAUCUACAUUCCUUAAAAAAAAAAAUCAAUCCUCUAAAAUAGCCUUUAUUUUCUUCUUUUUUAUAGAUGGGCACGUUUUAAAACUUAGGUAAACUUUCUUAAAUUUAUACACCUAGUAAGGGGCAAAAUUUCAUUAGCACCUAGAUCUAAGUGAAAAACCCUACACAUUACAUAUUCUCUUUGAGAUAGUAAUUUAAUACCAGUUAAAUAUUAAAAUCUAGGUGAAAGGGGUAAGACCAUGAAAUAACAGAAUCAUAAGGUUUUAAAGGGUAAGGAUGGAAUGAAAGGGAUAUGUGAAUGUUUAAAAGCUGAUUGGAGUCAUUGACAAGAGUCAGAAUAGAAUUUACUGUAAGUGGUUCAUGUUUUACAAGCAGGCCUUUUUGUCUAUAUGUGUGUCUAUAUUCAUAGUAUAAUAUUUCUUAAAAUAAUAUGAUACAAUCAGACUGAUUACUUACAGAUGAAGAUACAGCUUUGAAAAAAACAGGGUGGUUACAAGACCUGCACAAUGUUUACAAAAAACACAAGCCACCUGUAAGGCCGUCUCAGAAGUCUUGGAAGCUACUCUCUCCUGCAUCCCUGGGAUUAUCCUCAACCUGAGUCAUUGCUUGGGAUGCUCAUGGCAAUCUGCCUUGACAGAGCUAAAAGGUAAAAAUCACUGAAGGAAAAAAAACAUGUUUUGUGGCCUGCUAGGGUAAUCUAGUAAGGAAACUGAACUGAGAAAUUCAAGGUGGUAGUGGAUUUGCAUCAUUCACUGAGUGAAGCUGGGUCAACUAAGAACCUCACCUGCUUUGCUCUAAGGACCACGGUGAACAAACUUCCCAGUUUGUCUGACAUUACCGUGGUUUCUGGAACAUAGGACUUUCAAUGCUAAAACAAAAAGUCUCAGGCAAACCUACUAGGGACAUCCUAAAUGAGUUCUGGAAUGAGGUGGAACUCCCCGUACAGUUGCAGCUAGUCUCAAUUCAUCUGCUCAGUGCUGGGGUAUAAUUGCAUAGGAAAGGCAAUUGUUGGAUAAAGUAAUCAACACUGACCAUAAAGAAUCCAAAUAAAUGCUGCUUCUCAUUCCUUUUCCAGUGGUUUGGCUAUAAACCAAACUCCUAUCUAUACCUUUUGGACCUAAUUUUCAUUUAGCAAGCCCUUAGGAAUCCUCCUAUGUCUGAGCCCUAAAACAUCAAAUUACUGCCUUUCCAUAUACCAUUCAUAUUGAUUUCUAGCAAUCACUAAAUCAAGUAGGUUCUUUUAGAAUAGAGCAGAGUGAACAUAUGCUUUUCAUCCCAGGAUAGCUUUAUAUAAUCCCUGGCAGCACAAAACACCAUAUUUGGCUCACAGUAGGGGCUUAAUAAAUAAUUCAUUAUGUGUAAUAUUAAUCAGGAAAUUUUAACAAUAGGUUUUUUUGUAGACUUUUGGGCCUUCCCUCUGUGAUUGUUAGAAUCAAGAUAUUAAAGAUAAUUAUAUUUUUAACCAAUGCCCUCCCCCCAGCCCAUAGAACUAAAUUCUCCUUCGUUUGUGCUAGUUUACUCUACAGCCAGUGUCAUUCAAUGCACUGGACCCUGAAGGGGAAAGGAUUCCUUAAAUUUAGGAGUUUUCAAAUACCACUGUGGGUCUACACAGACUUGGACAACUUGGCAAAAUGCAGAUUCCAAGUCCCCACCUUAGAGGUUCCCAUUUAACUGCUCUAGGUUUUGACCUAGGGACUUGCAUUUUGAAUGAGCAUCUGAGGUGAUUUAGAUAAACACAGUCUGGGACCAUACUUUGACAAAUCCUACCCUAAUCAGUGAUCAUUUCAGAUGUGUUUUUACGAAAAUCUCUAUUGACUCAGGCCCCAAAGCCUAUCUGGUCAGUGGAACCAUCAAGCCAGCUGGGAUACAUCUGGAAAUGAAAGCAAGGGAGCCUCAUGAUGAGAUUCGAAAUAAAAUCUAUUUGGAAGGAAAAGCAAAUCUGAAAUUUUUGGACCCUAUUCAUUACUCAUUAGAAAUGAUUCACUUGACAGUAAUUUACAAAGAGUAGAACUUCAACAAAUAGGUAAAUUCUAUAGCGUAAUUAUGCCAGUAUAAUACACACUUGGUAACCUUGGUUCGUUCUUAAAAUAUUUCAUCAGAAAAGAAUAAUCUUAAUUAGUAUUUCAACAAGUUAAAUUAAAUAGAAUGGGAAGAAGAAGAAAGUAAAGCAAGAAUAUUAAGCUGUACCUGAAGCCAUGAAAGCACUGGGAAAGAGCAAGAUUAAAUGUUGGAAGCUCCAAUUGAAGGAAUAAAAUGAAAUUAAGUCCAAAAUAAUGGAAAAUUUAAAUUUCAACAGCGUAAAAGGAGUGGAAAGAUGAAUUAUAGCACCAUUCUAUAAAAAGCACAGAAAGCUAAAAGAUAUAAUAGCAAAGUUCAAAGCACAUAUUGUUAUAAAUACAUUUCAAGCUCUUGUCUUUAAAUUUCACAUGUAACAAAAUGAGUGUAUGUAAAAAUGAACAUAUAUGUAACUUUUGUGUUAUCAGCAUAGCACUAAUUCAAACCUUACAUCUCUGUAUAUUUCUUUUUUUCAAGUCCUGCCAACUGUAUAUUUUUUACAGUUUAUGCUAUCAAUAAACAUUUUCUAGAACUUAGAUAUUUAUUUUAAGUCUGCAAUAUUUUGUUGUUUUGCUUUAAUACAGUACUGAAAAUACACUGUUCAAAUGACACCAUCUGUGGAAAGUCAGCAUUGAUCACAACAGGGAAUUGCUUGGGAAGCUGUCUAACCUUAUUAUAGUAUAGCCUUAUUAGUAAAAGUUUUAAGGAAUAGAUGAAAGAAUAAUCGCUUCAAAAAUAAAUUUUUUUAAUGGGAAAGGAGAUGGGAGGGAGUGGGUAAGAAUAUCAAAGAU